CUAAAACCAGCACAGAGAGUCACCAAUGGUCUCAGCCCCAGUAUCUCAUCCCCACCCACCAGCAGUCACAGGCUGGCAGUGCCCUCGAUUGGAGACGGUCCAGGGACCGUCCGGAGGGUGACUCAUUACUGCUCUGGGCCUUAUUUCCCCCCUGCUCAAGGAAGGCUCCCAAUUAGCCAGGGCUCUCACAGCUGUGGAGGGAAUGACCUAAGGGGCAUUAUAAAAAUACAGCCUCCUGGGGCUUACCCCCCAGAAGGGAGCCAAGGCCCAAGGUUGUGUGGUGCAACUUGGUGGGAGCAUCCAGAAGGAGCAGAAGGCUCUGUGGACUCAGCGAGACUGGAGUUUGAGUCCUGGACCUGCCUCAAGGGUCACAUGACCUGAGGCAGGGCUUCUCUGAGCCCUUGGUCUCCUCAUCUGUGGAGUGGAGGACAGAGGGGCCUGCUGAUCAAGUCUUGCCUCCUGUGGGUCGAGGCAUGGGCUCAAGAAGGCCCACCCUCACCUCUUAACCCCAGGGAUGGUGUGAGACUGCACAAAAGGAGCUGACCAGGGGAGGGAAGGAGCCUGAUAGGCCUGGGUCCUAGGCAGGGGAGCCCCUGCUGGCAGGGAGAGCGGCCAGGUGCAAGUUGGGUGUCCUUGGUGCCUGGUGCUGGGGUGGAGGCCAUCUGAUCACCAGUGGGUCCCUCCUCCUUCCUCUGGGGAGGCGUUAGCUGGGCAGAGACUCAUGGUUGCCUGUCCUCUGGCUGGAAGAGCCAAACUGGUCCUGCUGCAGCCUUUCACCUGGACGACAGAAAGAGGCCAGGAGAUGCCGAGAGCCAGUGAGAAGGAGAGCUGGAGAGACAGAGACUGACUCCUGAGGAGAGGUGGCCAGGAGCUGAGAUGGAAGAGGCGAGGCCACAGAUGGCCAAGGUGUGGGGUGGCCAUGUGAAGAAAGAACCAUGAACCAUGGCCAUGUGAAGAAAGGCCAUGAACUAUGGCCCUCCAUGUGAAGAAAGAAGUUGGGGGCCUUUCUCACGGCUCUCUGUGCACUGACCACAAGGGAGGCGCUUUUGCAAUGUAGAAAAAGAAGAAACCAGAUUGAUAAAGGAAGUGCUGGGUACUCCGGGGGCCCGCGAGUUUGGGGAAGCUCACCCUCCCUUGCUCUUCCGAAGGAACCUGAUCCACGCUUUCCACGUUCCUCUGGACUCCCCGAGGAGGCACCUCUGUAGGGCCUGCCCUCUGGCCUUGACAGAACUGCUUGGCUUCUCCUCUCCUGGGAGGAGAGUGAGGCAAUGGGUCCGUCCCUGCUGCUGUCCCUGCUGCUGCUGCCGGCAUCUCUGCAGGCUGGCAGCUCAAAAGAAUGCAAUCCAAACACUGACUUUGGGAUCAACCAAUCAGCGUCUCUCUCAGCCCCCGAGGGUGGUUCCACCUGCAUCUCUUUCUCCUACUUCUACUGCUGGGAGUUAGCCAAGGAUCCCAGACUGAGUAUAGCCGUCAGACGGACAGACUUCUCUGGAGAGGUCAUCUACAACAGUACCCAGCGUUUUAUCCAUAAGGAUUUCAAGAACCGGAUCUCCCUGGACUUGAGAGAGGGUCAGAACUCCGGCACCCUGUGUAUACGGAACCUGCGGAAAGAAGAUGAGAAUAGGUACUUUUGCCGGGUCCAAGUGGAAACGCUAAGAGAUGGCAAAAAGGUGUGGCAGUCCAUCCCAGGGACCAAACUCACCAUUACCAACGCUGCCCAGAUGACCACAAUCACCAAGGGCCCUACCACCACUGUCACCACCACCACAAGGGACAUGAAUAUGGAAACCAUGGUCAAGGUGGCACUGCCCAUUGCUGUAUUCAAAACUGCAAUUUUGGGACUGGUUGUCUACCUCUGGUGGAAGAGAAGCAAAGAGGAAAAAUCACAGUGGUUGUCUCUAGAGUGAGGAUGAGGGUUGGAGAUGAAGAAAAACAUGACAUAGUCACUGAGGAUACAGAAGACAGUAUUUAAGGAUUCAACUCAGAUGAGAAGCCAUAAACUCUGUAAAGGCAUCGCCUCAUGUUUUUCCUCAUGCAGGAUGAAGUGCAGGAUGACAGCAGCAUCCUCUAUGCCUCCUUCACCCUCUCCAGCUCCUCCCUGCACCCCUCCCAAGGAGAGUCCGCAGGAGACCCUGUAUUCUAUCGUAAAGGCCCAGUGAGCAGGACUGAAUGGGGACUCCCUGAGACUAAGCUGCACAGAAGGUCACAGCUUCUAGUAAUAACCCUGGCCAGACACAGACAAAAGCCAGUGGGUGUGGAAGGCCACCAAGGACCAGAGAGAAACAGAGCCAUCUGCUUCCAUUCCCUCUUCAACGUCCCAGCCC